AUGAGCCUGUGAUGAUGCAAGUCUUAGGAAGAGUCGUCUUAUAAUUAGUGAUUAUAAACAGGACGCUGAGGCCA
rnacentral:snoRNA from 1 species